CGCCUAGUAUCCGCGCGGGAGCCCCGCCCAGGCCUCCGGGAGCCCGCGGCGCCGCCACGCGCGAGACAGGGCCCGGAAGGAGGCGGUGCUGCGCUUCGAGGCUGGGGCCGGGCGAAGGCGACGCUCCGCCUCGGGAGACUUGGAAAAUAGAGGGAAGUGGAGGAAACACCCACAGUUCCACUACUCGAACAUAAUUUUCCACGUUUGCUCAUUCCUUUUCAGCUGACAUCACGAAGUACAGUGCUCUCCAGUCCUCGCCCUGGCUCAGGACCCGUGAACCCACUUUGCACGUGGGCCGGGCACGCCACUUUUCCCAGUCAGGGACCUGGGCCCCAGCGCGCGCCCCCGAGGGCCCCGCGGAAAUGCCCUGGCCCACCCGCCGGAAGUGACGUAACGCCACGUCCUAGCAACCGUUGCCAAGGAGCUCGUCUCUAGGAACCCACUAGAGCCUGGAUGCCUCCUGCGGGGGGAAAAAAAGUGGUUUCUUGACAAGAAUUUGAGUUAUAAGACCUAAUUAUGAGCGAUCAAAUCAAAUUCAUUGUGGACAAUCUCAAUAAGGAGCCUUUUAGGAAGAACUAUAAUUUAAUAACAUUUGAUUCCCUGGAGCCAAUGCAACUAUUGCAAAUUCUCAAUGAUGUUCUGGCUGAGAUUGACCCAAAGCAAGUUGUUGAUAUCAGAGAGGAGAUGCCAGAGCACACAGCCAAAAGGAUGUUGAGCCUUCUUGGUAUCCUUAAAUACAAACCUCCAGGAAAUGCUACAGACAUGAGUACCUUUCGUCAGGGUCUGGUGAUUGGAAGUAAACCUGUAAUUUACCCAGUGCUCCACUGGCUUCUUCAGAGGACUAAUGAACUGAAGAAAAGAGCCUAUUUAGCUCGUUUUUUAAUAAAACUUGAGGUACCAAGUGAGUUUCUUCAGGACGAAACAGUGGCUGAUACCAAUAAACAGUAUGAAGAGCUGAUGGAAGCCUUUAAAACUUUGCAUAAAGAAUGUGAGCAACUCAAGACAUCUGGAUUUUCUACAGCAGAAAUAAGAAGGGAUAUCAGUGCAAUGGAGGAUGAAAAGGAUCAGCUCAUUAAGAGAGUUGAACGUUUGAAGAAAAGGGUGGAGACAGUUCAGAAUCAUCAACGGAUGCUUAAAAUAGCAAGGCAACUUCGAGUUGAAAAAGAGAGAGAAGAAUUUCUUGCACAACAGAAACAGGAACAAAAGAAUCAGCUAUUUCAUGCGGUGCAGAGACUGCAAAGAGUACAAAAUCAGCUGAAAAGUAUGCGCCACGCAGCAGCAGAUGCAAAGCCUGAAAGUUUAAUGAAGAGACUAGAGGAAGAGAUAAAGUUUAAUUCUUAUAUGGUAACUGAAAAAUUUCCUAAAGAAUUAGAGAGCAAGAAAAAAGAAUUGCAUUUUCUACAAAAAGUGGUUUCAGAGCCUGCCAUGGGCCAUUCUGAUCUUCUUGAACUAGAAUCUAACAUAAAUGAAAUAAACACACAGAUAAAUCAGCUGAUUGAAAAGAAAAUGAUGAGAAAUGAGCCAAUUGAAGGCAAACUCUCACUAUACAGGCAACAGGCAUCCAUCAUUUCUCGUAAAAAAGAAGCCAAAGCUGAGGAACUUCAGGAAGCAAAGGAGAAGUUAGCCAGCCUAGAGAGAGAGGUAUCAGUGAAGACAAAUCAGACCCGCGAAUUUGAUGGCACUGAAGUUUUGAAGGGAGAUGAGUUCAAACGAUAUGUCAGUAAACUUCGAAGCAAGAGUACAGUUUUCAAAAAGAAGCAUCAAAUAAUAGCUGAAUUUAAAGCUGAAUUCGGCCUCUUGCAGAGGACAGAAGAACUUCUUAAGCAACGGCAUGAAAAUAUUCAACAUCAACUGCGAACUAUUGAAGAGAAAAAGGGCAUAUCUGGAUAUAGUUACACUCAGGAAGAGCUAGAAAGGGUAUCUGCACUGAAGAGUGAAGUCGACGAAAUGAAAGGCCGAACGCUAGAUGACAUGUCUGAAAUGGUAAAAAAACUGAAUUCACUGGUGUCUGAAAAGAAGUCAGCUCUAGCCCCAGUUAUAAAAGAACUACGACAGUUGCGUCAGAAAUGUCAAGAACUAACCCAAGAGUGUGAUGAAAAGAAACCCCAGUAUGAUAGCUGUGCAGCAGGCCUCGAAAGCAAUCGGUCCAAAUUAGAACAGGAAGUCAGAGGACUCCGUGAAGAAUGUCUUCAGGAAGAAAGUAGAUACCAUUACACAAAUUGUAUGAUUAAGAACCUAGAAGUACAACUUCGUCGUGCUACUGAUGAGAUGAAGACUUAUGUUUCUUCUGAUCAACAAGAAAAAAGAAAGGCAAUUAGGCAACAGUAUACAAAAAAUAUUACUGAACAGGAAAACCUUGGAAAGAAACUCCGAGAAAAACAAAAAGCUGUACGAGAAAGUCAUGGUCCAAAUAUGAAACAAGCGAAAAUGUGGCGUGAUUUUGAACAAUUGAUGGAAUGUAAGAAACAGUGCUUUCUGAAACAACAAAGCCAAACUUCCAUUGGUCAGAAACUCCUCCAACUGCACAAAACUUCUGAACUGUGCUUUUUAAAGAUAUGAAAAAGGAAAAUAUGAUGAUACCUACAAAAUACUCCCAAGACCUGUAGUGCUCAAAGAAGAUUUUAGUGAUGGAAAAGUCUCAGAGAAAAGGUCUAGAAACCAGAUCCCAGGGCCUGGAAUGUUUCUGUCUAGUCCCUAAGAUGCAUCUUUUCCUGUUACCAAAAGGUCUGAGACACCCAGUUGGUAAUCAGAAGCUCUUACAGGGAGCCUGGAAAGUAGCUGCAGACUCUUAUGGCAUUUUUACUUCCAAGUAUGUAAGUACAGCUCUGUGGUGGCUGGGAAACCGACCAGGAGACUGUGUCCCUGUCCUUGCCUGUGUAAUGCUAUACAAAUACUGUCACAUUUGUGUCAUGGAGGGGGUCUCCUUUGGUCAAUACCCUGUGGGCGAUCCCUCUGUUUGUUGUUACACAGGAUGGAGUCUAAGUAGACAGUAAAUGAGAAGGUGAAGUUUCCUUGGAUUAUCCAUGGUGGGGAGGCCCCAGGUACAGGGAGACUGAAGGAUGAGUAGCGGCUAGCCCAUAACUGCAAGUUCACGGUUGCCCCCAGCAACACCUCUUAUGACGUGUCUGCCUUUAAGUGGCCGACCUUAGUAAUUUUGGAUUCUCAGUAGUUUUCUUCUCAGAAGUUGACCUUAUAAAGAGCCUCUGGGGGUAUCUCCUACCUGAUCCUUCACCCCGGGCCCCCAUCUUCCCUUCCCAUUUCUCCUUCACCAGUAAAACCCAUUCCUUCAUCCUGCCCUGCCUGUGCAUGUACAUCUCUAGCACAAGGGAAGGGGACUUGGGGGACAUUGGUUAUUUUUACUUUAGGACUAGUAUAAAGUUGAGACAUGGUCAACCAAUCCCAGACUUGAGCCCACUGAUGUCUCAGAUUUUAAGAAGCACCAACCAGUCUUUCCAAGUGCCAUGUUCCACCAACACUUUCCUUCACUUGUCUUGACGUUGUUAGACCCCCCACGGUGUGGUUUUAUCGCCUGCCUCCAUUCAGAUUUUUUUUUUCCCAGAUGUGGAACGCUUCACAAAUUUACAUGUCAUUCUUGUACAGGAACCAUGCUAAUCUUCUCUGUAUUGUUCCAAUUUUAGUCUGUGCACUGCCACAUCAAGCACCUUCCUUUCAGAUUCUGAGGGUCAUUUGACUUUGUCUCUGGCAGCUGCCAUUUUCUGCCUCCUACCUGACAUGGCACCCUGUGUCAUGUGAACCCUUACACAUGGUGGCUCUGCCCAGUCUGGGCCCUUAGGGAGGGCGUCUAGCAAGAUCAGCUUAAUUUCUACGUCCACUUUUACAGGACAACUUCAUUCAGUGUCCAUUACACUUUUUGUGUAAUAUUUAUUUUGGGGAAAGCGGAAACAGAGGAGGGGCUGAGAGAGGGGGAAAGAGGAUCCGAACCGGCUCUGUACUGACCAACUGACAGCAGUGAACUCGAUAUGGGGCUCAAACUCAUGAGCCAUGAGAUCGUGACCUGAGCCGAAGUCAGAUGCUCAACCAACUAAGCCACCCAGGUGCCCCCAUUACACUUUUAAAAUGCUUAAACCAAAUCACUCCAGUCUCUUUUCUUGAUACCUUUUCUUCAUACCUUUUCUUUAUACCUUUAUACCUUGGCCUUUACACCGAGCUGUGGCCUUCCACACUUCUGGCCCUAAAGCCUCAGCAGCUGUUUGGUGUAAGCCAGCUCAGUGCCCUUGCAGUGAGUUUGGGGAAUCUAUUAGCUUUAUCCCUAAAGUUAGACUCCACACUGUCUCAGAAGAAUGGUAGAGUGAGACAGAAGACGAGGGGUGGUCAAGAGAGAAGCUAGGAAAAGAUUUGUACCGAUGCUAGAAAAAAAUGAAAGCUCUUCAUGGGUUUACUUAUGCAAGAUGCAAGGUAAAGUGCAAAUACCUUGACCCAGCAGUUGUUCCGCACCCCUGACCGCCUUCCAAAUUCACACACACACACACACUCACCAGACACACUUAGCAAUUCAAAGCUCUGGUCUGGAAAAUCUUGCCCCUGGGGUGUCAGUUAGUCCCCUAGUGAUGACAGGUUUAAUGGUUCCGUAUCUCUGCAUUCCACAAGGACCACCUACCCAGAGGCCACACCCUCCUGACCUGGUUAGGCAGGGCCUGAGACUCCACAGGGAACAUGAGAGCAGUAUGGAUCGAGGGUCCAGGGGCCUGUGCUCUUGUUUGGGUGAAUCGCUCUGGGUUGCUGUGUGACUAUAUCUAUGUUGCUUGCCCUCUCUGUAAUUCAGGGUCCGUGGGUAUAAAAUGGGACUGAUGGUUCUUGUCUCAUAGAAAUAUCAUGAGAAAGUAAACUAUGGUCUUUGAGAGUUUAUGCUUCUAAGUAGUCAAGGAGUCAGGGAAGUCCUGUGUUUUCUCUUUUUUGGAUAUUGAGGGGAGGUUUCCUGGGCUCUCUUAUGCAAGCCCUCAGAAGACAUUUAAUCAGAGAGUAAGGCUGAAAUUUUUUAAAAAGUAAACCUCACAAAAGAAGAGCCUUGGGGCACCUAGGUGACUCAGUCAGUUGAGCUUCUAGACCUUGGUUUCAGCUCAGGUUAUGAUCUCACAGUUCAUGGAUUCAAGGCCUGCAUUGGGCUCCACACUGACAUUGCAGAGCCUGGUUGGGAUUCUCUCUCUCCCUUUCUCUCAAAAGAAAUAAACAAACUUAGAAGAAGGAGGAGGAGGAGGAGGAGGAGGAGGAGGA